CUGCACAUUUACUCUGCUCUGCUCCCUCUGAAGUUUGGUGCUUUGAGUCAUUUGUUGGAAGAUCAGUCAGAAAAGAUUCAGAAGGAGGAAAUUAUUCUCCACAGAUGGAUUUCAACCGAGGCUAAAGGGCCUACUUUGUCUUUAUAAAUGUUGCAACAUCAGAUAUGCUGAGAAUUCUUCAGAUGGGAGGUGGACACGUAUCUGGUGACGUCAGCUUCCUGCUGGUUGCAAAGACCUUCCACAUUAGCCGUCACACAGCAGCAUCUCUUUGUACAAUCACUGAGCAUCGAUAAUUCCCAACUCCUCAAGAUCCCCAUGGUAUCUCUUCGAUCUACUUGCAGGAGAUUUAGAAAGUACGGAUUUGCAUUGGAAGGCUGCUGCAAGGGCACUUUACACACUGGUACCAAC